rnacentral:rRNA from 1 species
GACGAACGCUGGCGGCGUGCUUAACACAUGCAAGUCGAGCGAGGCCCACCUUUCGGGGUGGUGUCCUAGCGGCGAACGGGUGAGUAACACGUGGGCAACCUGCCCCCGGCUCUGGGAUAACCCCAAGAAAUUGGGGCUAAUACCGGAUAUGACCGCUGACCGCAUGGUCUGGUGGUGGAAAGAUUUAUCGGCUGGGGAUGGGCCCGCGGCCUAUCAGCUUGUUGGUGGGGUAGUGGCCUACCAAGGCGACGACGGGUAGCCGGCCUGAGAGGGUGACCGGCCACACUGGGACUGAGACACGGCCCAGACUCCUACGGGAGGCAGCAGUGGGGAAUAUUGCGCAAUGGGCGGAAGCCUGACGCAGCGACGCCGCGGGGGGGAUGACGGCCUUCGGGUUGUAAACCUCUUUCAGCAGGGACGAAGCCGUGAGGUGACGGUACCUGCAGAAGAAGCACCGGCCAACUACGUGCCAGCCGCCGCGGUAACAC